ensembl:lncRNA
AUGGAUUCAGUACUCACAACUGUGGUUGUGGGAAUUUCAGUAGUUGAGGAUGCUGUAGUUACUGAUUUUGUUAGAGGUGUAGUUGUUUCUGAAGAUGUAGCUAUAACUGUUGAAGUAGGAGUUGUAGAUUCAGAAGUUACAAAUGUUGAUGUUGUUGGAUUGUUCGUUUUUGUAGGUGUGGUUGAUGAAGCUGUAGUCAUGGUUUCAGCUGUUGUACUCUUCAAAGUUGUGGGCAACACUGUUGAAGUAAUAGGUGUGGUUUCUGUACUCACAGCUGUGGUUGUGGAAAUUUUGAUAGUUGAGGAUGCUUUAGUUACUGAAGUUGUUACAGGUGCAGUUGUUUCUGAAGAUGUAGGCAAUGUUGUUGAAGUGAGAGUUGAGGAUUCUGAAGGUAUAACUGUUGAUGUUGUUGGAUUGUUUGUUGUUGCAGGUGUGGAUGAUGAAGCUGUAGUCGUGGUUUCUGCUGUUGUACUCUCUGAAGUUGUAGGCACCACUGUUGAAGUAAUAGGUGUGGUUUCUUUACUCACAACUGUGCUUGUGGGAAUUUCAGAAGUUGAGGAUGCUGUAGUUACUGAUGUUUUUACAGGUGCAGUUGUUUCUGAAGAUGUAGGCAAUGUUGUUGAAGUGAGAGUUGUGGAUUCUGAAGGUACAACUGUUGAUGUUGUUGGAUUGUUUGUUGUUGCAGGUGUGGAUGAUGAAGCUGUAGUCGUGGUUUCUAGUGUUGUACUUUCUGAAGUUGAAUGCACCACUGUUGAAGUAAUAGGUGUGGUUUCUGUACUCACAACUGUGGUUGUAGGAAUUUCAGUAGUUGAGGAUGCUGUAGUUACUGAAGUUGUUACAGGUGCAGUUGUUUCUGAAGAUGCAGGCACUGUUGUUGAAGUGAGAGCUGUGGAUGCUGAAGUUACAGCUUUUGAUGUUGGAUUGUUUGUUGUUGUAGAAAUUGUUGAUGAAGCUGUAGUCGUGGUUUCUGCUGUUGUACUCUCUGAAGUUGUAGGCACCACUGUUGAAGUAAUAGGUGUGGUUUCUUUACUCACAACUGUGCUUGUGGGAAUUUCUGAAGUUGAGGAUGCUGUAGUUACUGAUGUUUUUACAGGUGCAGUUGUUUCUGAAGAUGUAGGCACUGUUUUUGAAGUGAGAGUUGUGGAUUCUGAAGUUACAAAUGUUGAUGUUGUUGGAUUGUUUGUUGUAAGUGUGGUUGAUGAAGCUGUAGAUGUGGUUUCUGCUGUUGUACUCUCUGAAGUUGUGGGCACCACUGUUGAAGUAAUAGGUGUGGUUUCUGUACUCAUAACUGUGGUUGUGAGAAUUUCAGUAGUUGAGGAUGCUUUAGUUACUGAAGUUGUUACAGGUGCAGUUGUUUCUGAAGAUGUAGGCAAUGUUGUUGAAGUGAGAGUUGAGGAUUCUGAAGGUAUAACUGUUGAUGUUGUUGGAUUGUUUGUUGUUGCAGGUGUGGAUGAUGAAGCUGUAGUCGUGGUUUCUAGUGUUGUACUUUCUGAAGUUGAAUGCACCACUGUUGAAGUAAUAGGUGUGGUUUCUGUACUCACAACUGUGGUUGUAGGAAUUUCAGUAGUUGAGGAUGCUGUAGUUACUGAAGUUGUUACAGGUGCAGUUGUUUCUGAAGAUGCAGGCACUGUUGUUGAAGUGAGAGCUGUGGAUGCUGAAGUUACAGCUUUUGAUGUUGGAUUGUUUGUUGUUGUAGAAAUUGUUGAUGAAGCUGUAGUCGUGGUUUCUGCUGUUGUACUCUCUGAAGUUGUAGGCACCACUGUUGAAGUAAUAGGUGUGGUUUCUUUACUCACAACUGUGCUUGUGGGAAUUUCAGAAGUUGAGGAUGCUGUAGUUACUGAUGUUUUUACAGGUGCAGUUGUUUCUGAAGAUGUAGGCACUGUUUUUGAAGUGAGAGUUGUGGAUUCUGAAGUUACAAAUGUUGAUGUUGUUGGAUUGUUUGUUGUAAGUGUGGUUGAUGAAGCUGUAGAUGUGGUUUCUGUACUCAUAACUGUGGUUGUGAGAAUUUCAGUAGUUGAGGAUGCUUUAGUUACUGAAGUUGUUACAGGUGCAGUUGUUUCUGAAGAUGUAGGCAAUGUUGUUGAAGUGAGAGUUGAGGAUUCUGAAGGUAUAACUGUUGAUGUUGUUGGAUUGUUUGUUGUUGCAGGUGUGGAUGAUGAAGCUGUAGUCGUGGUUUCUAGUGUUGUACUUUCUGAAGUUGAAUGCACCACUGUUGAAGUAAUAGGUGUGGUUUCUGUACUCACAACUGUGGUUGUAGGAAUUUCAGUAGUUGAGGAUGCUGUAGUUACUGAAGUUGUUACAGGUGCAGUUGUUUCUGAAGAUGCAGGCACUGUUGUUGAAGUGAGAGCUGUGGAUGCUGAAGUUACAGCUUUUGAUGUUGGAUUGUUUGUUGUUGUAGAAAUUGUUGAUGAAGCUGUAGUCGUGGUUUCUGCUGUUGUACUCUCUGAAGUUGUAGGCACCACUGUUGAAGUAAUAGGUGUGGUUUCUUUACUCACAACUGUGCUUGUGGGAAUUUCAGAAGUUAAGGAUGCUGUAGUUACUGAUGUUUUUACAGGUGCAGUUGUUUCUGAAGAUGUAGGCAAUGUUGUUGAAGUGAGAGUUGUGGAUUCUGAAGGUACAACUGUUGAUGUUGUUGGAUUGUUUGUUGUUGCAGGUGUGGAUGAUGAAGCUGUAGUCGUGGUUUCUAGUGUUGUACUUUCUGAAGUUGAAUGCACCACUGUUGAAGUAAUAGGUGUGGUUUCUGUACUCAUAACUGUGGUUGUGAGAAUUUCAGUAGUUGAGGAUGCUGUCAUUACUGAAGUUGUUACAGGAGCUGUUGUUUCUGAAGAUGUAGGCAAUGUUGUUGAAGUGAGAGUUGUGGAUUCUGAAGUUACAGUUUUUGAUGUUGGAUUAUUUGUUGUCGUAGAUAUCGCUGAUGAAGCUGUAGUCAUGGUUUCUGCUGUUGUACUCUCUGAAGUUGUGGGCACCACUGUUGAAGUAAUAGGUGUGGUUUCUGUACUCACAGCUGUGGUUGUGGGAAUUUUAGUAGUUGAGGAUGCUGUAGUUACUGAAGUUGUUACAGGUGUAGUUGUUUCUGAAGAUGUAGGCACUGUUGUUGAAGUAAUAGUUGUGUAUUCAGAAGUUACAGCUGUUGUUGUUGGAUUGUUUGUUGUUGAAGGAGUGGUUGAUGAAGCUGUAGUCGUGGUUUCUACUGUUGUACUCUCUGAAGUUGUAGGCACCACUGCUGAAGUAGUAGAUGUGGAUUCUGUACUCACAACUGUGGUUGUGGGAAUUUCAGUAGUUGAGGAUGCUGUAGUUAUAACUGUUGAAGUAAGAGUUGUAGAUUCAGAAGUUACAGAUGUUGAUGUUGUUGGAUUGUUUGUUGUUGUAGGAGUGGUUGAUGAAGCUGUAGUCGUGGUUUCUACUGUUGUACUCUCUGAAGUUGUAGGCACCACUGUUGAAGUAGUAGAUGUGGAUUCUGUACUCACAACUGUGGUUGUGGGAAUUUCAGUAGUUGAGGAUGCUGUAGUUACUGAUUUUGUUAGAGGUGUAGUUGUUUCUGAAGAUGUAGCCAUAACUGUUGAAAUAGGAGUUGUAGAUUCAGAAGUUACAGAUGUUGUUGGAUUGUUCGUUGUUGUAGGUGUGGUUGAUGAAGCUGUAGUCGUGGUUUCUGCUGUUGUACUCUCUGAAGUUGUAGGCACCACUGUUGAAGUAAAAGAUGUGGAUUCUGAACUCACAACUUUGGUUGUGGGAAUUUCAGUACUUGAUGAUGCUGUAGUUACUGAUGUUGUUACAGGUGCAGUUGUUUCUAUAGAUGUAGGCACUGUUGUGGGAGUGAGAGUUGUGGAUACUGAAGCUGCAGCUGUUGAUGUUGUUGGAUUGGUUGUUGUUGUAGGAAUGGUUGAUGAAGCUGUAGUCGUGGUUUCUGCUGUUGUACUCUCUGAAGUUGUAGGCAUCAUUGUUGAAGUAAUAGAUGUGGUUUCGGAACUCACAACUGUGGUUGUGGGAAUUUCAGUAGUUGAGGAUGCUGUAGUUACUGAUGUUGUUACAGGUGCAGUUGUUUCUAUAGAUGUAGGCACUGUUGUUGAAGUGAGAGUUGUGGAUUCUGAAGUUGCAGCUGUUGAUGUUGUUGGAUUGUUUGUUGUUGUAGGAGUGGUUGA